rnacentral:rRNA from 1 species
AUUGAACGCUGGCGGCAUGCUUUACACAUGCAAGUCGAACGGCAGCGCGGGCUUCGGCCUGGCGGCGAGUGGCGAACGGGUGAGUAAUACAUCGGAACGUGCCCAGUAGUAGGGGAUAGCUCGGCGAAAGCCGGAUUAAUACCGCAUACGACCUGAGGGUGAAAGCGGGAGAUCUUCGGACCUCGCGCUAUUGGAGCGGCCGAUGGCAGAUUAGCUAGUUGGUGGGGUAAAGGCCUACCAAGGCGACGAUCUGUAGCUGGUCUGAGAGGACGACCAGCCACACUGGGACUGAGACACGGCCCAGACUCCUACGGGAGGCAGCAGUGGGGAAUUUUGGACAAUGGGCGAAAGCCUGAUCCAGCAAUGCCGCGUGUGUGAUGAAGGCCUUCGGGUUGUAAAGCACUUUUGGCGGGAACGAAAAGGACUGUGCCAAUACCACGGUUCGAUGACGGUACCCGCAGAAUAAGCACCGGCUAACUACGUG